UGGGGAAUAUUGGACAAUGGGCGCAAGCCUGAUCCAGCAAUGCCGCGUGUGUGAAGAAGGCCUUCGGGUUGUAAAGCACUUUUAUCAGGAGCGAAAUCUGCAUGCUUAAUACGUGUGCAGUCUGACGGUACCUGAGGAAUAAGCACCGGCUAACUUCGUGCCAGCAGCCGCGGUAAUACGAAGGGUGCAAGCGUUAAUCGGAAUUACUGGGCGUAAAGGGUGCGUAGGCGGUUCGUUAAGUCUGUCGUGAAAUCCCCGGGCUCAACCUGGGAAUGGCGAUGGAUACUGGCGAGCUAGAGUGUGUCAGAGGAUGGUGGAAUUCCCGGUGUAGCGGUGAAAUGCGCAGAUAUCGGGAGGAACACCAGUGGCGAAGGCGGCGCUCUGGGCCGGAACUGACGCUGAGGAGCGAAAGCGUGGGUAGCAAAC
rnacentral:rRNA from 1 species